rnacentral:rRNA from 1 species
AGAGUUUGAUCCUGGCUCAGAGCGAACGCUGGCGGCAGGCCUAACACAUGCAAGUCGAACGGAUCCUUCGGGAUUAGUGGCGGACGGGUGAGUAACACGUGGGAACGUGCCCUUUGGUUCGGAACAACUCAGGGAAACUUGAGCUAAUACCGGAUGUGCCCUACGGGGGAAAGAUUUAUCGCCAUUGGAGCGGCCCGCGUCUGAUUAGCUAGUUGGUGAGGUAAAGGCUCACCAAGGCAACGAUCAGUAGCUGGUCUGAGAGGAUGAUCAGCCACACUGGGACUGAGACACGGCCCAGACUCCUACGGGAGGCAGCAGUGGGGAAUCUUGCGCAAUGGGCGAAAGCCUGACGCAGCCAUGCCGCGUGAAUGAUGAAGGUCUUAGGAUUGUAAAAUUCUUUCAGCAGGGACGAUAAUGACGGUACCUGCAGAAGAAGCCCCGGCUAACUUCGUGCCAGCAGCCGCGGUAAUACGAAGGGGGCUAGCGUUGCUCGGAAUUACUGGGCGUAAAGGGCGCGUAGGCGGGUCGUUUAGUUAGAGGUGAAAGCCCAGGGCUCAACCCUGGAAUUGCCUUUAAUACUGGCGGCCUUGAGUAUGGCAGAGGUGUGUGGAACUCCGAGUGUAGAGGUGAAAUUCGUAGAUAUUCGGAAGAACACCAGUGGCGAAGGCGACACACUGGGCCAUUACUGACGCUGAGGCGCGAAAGCGUGGGGAGCAAACAGGAUUAGAUACCCCCGUAGUCC